rnacentral:lncRNA from 1 species
AUGAGGAAAAACUAUUCCUUCCCUCUGUAAUAUCCUAAGAAAGUCACUUCCCUAGUUCCUGUGUACCUGAGAGUAUGGGAUACUGGCAUGGGAGACAGCAUAAUGUUCAUGGUUAGUGCUACAGGAAGAGAUGGCGGAGUGAGGACACAGUCAGGUGGAGGAGACUCCCAAGUAGCUGGGAUUACAGGUGCUCGCCACCAUGCCUGGGUAAUUUUUUGUGUUUUUAGUAGAGACAGGGUUUUGCCAUGUUGGCCAGGCUAGUCUCCAACUCCUGACCUCAGGUGAUCCACCUGCCUUGGCCUCUCAAAAUUUUUCUAUUUUUAUGAUUUAUCAAAAAUUAUAUAAAUCACAAUGACAAGAUAAACAGAAAAAACACAUGGGACGUAACAUCUCAACAUUUACUUUCCAUUUGAAAAGGUAGACCAUAUUCAAUUGUUUAUGUAGGAAAGAUCACCAGAAUUAAUAUUUAUGGAAUGUUUCUCAUAUUGAAUCAGGGCUCUAAAGGAACAGACUCCCCGC